rnacentral:rRNA from 1 species
AUUGAACGCUGGCGGCAUGCCUUACACAUGCAAGUCGAACGGCAGCACGGGAGCAAUCCUGGUGGCGAGUGGCGAACGGGUGAGUAAUAUAUCGGAACGUGCCCAGUCGUGGGGAUAACGUAGCGAAAGCUACGCUAAUACCGCAUACGAUCUAUGGAUGAAAGCGGGGGAUCGCAAGACCUCGCGCGAUUGGAGCGGCCGAUAUCAGAUUAGGUAGUUGGUGAGGUAAAGGCUCACCAAGCCGACGAUCUGUAGCUGGUCUGAGAGGACGACCAGCCACACUGGGACUGAGACACGGCCCAGACUCCUACGGGAGGCAGCAGUGGGGAAUUUUGGACAACGGGCGCAAGCCUGAUCCAGCAAUGCCGCGUGCAGGAUGAAGGCCUUCGGUUGUAAC